rnacentral:rRNA from 1 species
AGUCGAACGGCAGCACAGAGGAGCUUGCUCCUUGGGUGGCGAGUGGCGGACGGGUGAGGAAUACAUCGGAAUCUGCCUAUUUGUGGGGGAUAACGUAGGGAAACUUACGCUAAUACCGCAUACGACCUACGGGUGAAAGCGGAGGACCUUCGGGCUUCGCGCAGAUAGAUGAGCCGAUGUCGGAUUAGCUAGUUGGCGGGGUAAAGGCCCACCAAGGCGACGAUCCGUAGCUGGUCUGAGAGGAUGAUCAGCCACACUGGAACUGAGACACGGUCCAGACUCCUACGGGAGGCAGCAGUGGGGAAUAUUGGACAAUGGGCGCAAGCCUGAUCCAGCCAUGCCGCGUGGGUGAAGAAGGCCUUCGGGUUGUAAAGCCCUUUUGUUGGGAAAGAAAAGCAGUCGGUUAAUACCCGAUUGUUCUGACGGUACCCAAAGAAUAAGCACCGGCUAACUUCGUGCCAGCAGCCGCGGUAAUACGAAGGGUGCAAGCGUUACUCGGAAUUACUGGGCGUAAAGCGUGCGUAGGUGGUUUGUUAAGUCUGAUGUGAAAGCCCUGGGCUCAACCUGGGAAUUGCAUUGGAUACUGGCAGGCUAGAGUGCGGUAGAGGGUAGUGGAAUUCCCGGUGUAGCAGUGAAAUGCGUAGAGAUCGGGAGGAACAUCCGUGGCGAAGGCGACUACCUGGACCAGCACUGACACUGAGGCACGAAAGCGUGGGGAGC